GCAUAAUUAAACGAUAUUAUCGGUGAAAUUUUACAAGUCACGAGUUACGAGUUGCUAGCAUCGAUGAGUUUGAAGAGGAGUAGCUACGAGGAUGAAAAUUAGAGAGGAAAAUGCGCCUGUCUAUACAUCGUGGCUCUAAAAUCGUGAUACAAUUGAAGUGGCGGAGAUUAUACGACUAACUUUUUGAAAAUCAACGUAAUUUUAUUGUUCUGGAUUUUCUGCUUACUUUCAACCAUACAAUUUCUCUGACAUCCAACUGUAUGUGUAUAGCAACUGGUGAAUAAUUGUAUAUCGUAAUAACUAAAUUUGAUAUUUCCUUGGCCCGUUUGACGCGUAGUAUCGUAAAACGAUCGGUUGCCAACUCGGUUCUAAUUAUACUCCUCAACGCGUGUUCUUUCCUCUUCAUCUACAAACCUCUCUGAUCUUCUCCCUGCGAACCUCUCUGUUCUUCUCCCUACAAAGGUGGUUAUCACCGUUAUCAGGAUCACCGUCUCAAGACGAAAUCCAGUCGCGAUUCUCGACACGAGCCAGCGGAGGAUGAAAUUUCCCGUGGAUCUCAUUAAUAUCCUGCCGUUCUAUUUCGCGACGGUUGGUAGACGCUUGUACACGCGCAUCGAUCCCGUCCAAUGCAAACCGCCGCGUAUCAGCUGCCAUGCGCAUACAUACAUUAUGCGAGUGACACGCUCGGCAUGCAACACAGCGGAUAGAUCCAUGCGGGCAGCGCGACACUGCGCCUAUGUAAUCGAUCUAGAAAGCAACCGAUCGAUCGGCGAUCCGUGACCGUGUAAUAAAGCGACGGUGAGAAUCUGGUAACGUCGAUCGAUACCGACACCAGCCUGCAGCUGAACCAACCACCGAGCUUUGUUCCUGUCUGCGUGCUUGAUUAUUAUACGACAGUCCUACAGCAAUAUUGACUCGUGCUUAACGAUUCGCCGGCACUCGUAGGCUUCUUAGUCGUUUGCUUUAAAAUAUAAUCGGGCAGAGCGUUGCUCGACUAGUUAGUUGAUUCGAGUUUAUCCCCCGAGAUCAUUCGGUCCCGCGCGUUUGCGUUUCACGCGCCCUGUGUGUGUGUCUUUCUCCACGGAAGUUCGUUACGCGACCCGCUUGGUACUUUAAUUCGAGUUGCAGCGAACAUGGAUCAGCAGCGGUCAGACACGGGUAGUUUCGUUCUACUGGACAGGCUGAAAGAAGCGGAAAAAGAGGCAGCCGGUUUCACGAGCUAAGGCGGCGCAUCGAGCGUGUAGCCUUUUAAAAUUAGCUGUUGCUUGUGAAUGGAAUUAAAUGGGAAUGGGAAGGGGAGAAGGAGGUGGCCCGGCAACAGAAACGAAGAAACGAAAGGAAGAGAGAGAGAGAGAGGAAGGAGUCGGGAGAUUGCCGCAGAUUAAACCACUUUAACAGAGGAAACACGGAAAAGAAGCAGAGGAGAGUGGCAUAAGCUUUUCCGUACGACCUGCAUCCGGAAAACUCGGUCUAAAGCGCACGGCAAAUAGCAGGCCAAACUAACGCGAUGAAAGAGUAGUUAAUCUUACCAGGUGAAUCAGAGAGCCGCUAAAAAUAGCAAAGGUGCAUUCGACAGUUGCGAACUACGCGUUCCAAGCUAUUACCUCCUUUUCACCAAAUUUAGAUUAUUUCUGUCGAAGUUUACGUAUUCUCUUUUGUUACGCUCGAUCGGAGCGUAACUCUGAUCGAAUGCCCAAAACAGGACUUGUAAAUGUAAAUUACAUGGAUAAAAGAUAAUAAUAUAAGUCGACGUUUGUUUUUCUUUUUUCA